GACGAACGCUGGCGGCGUGCUUAACACAUGCAAGUCGAACGGAAAGGCCCUGCUUUUGUGGGGUGCUCGAGUGGCGAACGGGUGAGUAACACGUGAGUAACCUGCCCUUGACUUUGGGAUAACUUCAGGAAACUGGGGCUAAUACCGGAUAGGAGCUCCUGCUGCAUGGUGGGGGUUGGAAAGUUUCGGCGGUUGGGGAUGGACUCGCGGCUUAUCAGCUUGUUGGUGGGGUAGUGGCUUACCAAGGCUUUGACGGGUAGCCGGCCUGAGAGGGUGACCGGCCACAUUGGGACUGAGAUACGGCCCAGACUCCUCAGGGAGGCAGCAGGGGGGAAUAUUGCAAAAUGGGCGGAAGCCUGAUGCAGCAACGCCGCGUGCGGGAUGACGGCCUUCGGGUUGUAAACCGCUUUCGCCUGUGACGAAGCGUGAGUGACGGUAAUGGGUAAAGAAGCACCGGCUAACUACGUG
rnacentral:rRNA from 1 species